GCCUCAUUAGCUCAGUGGUUAGAGCACUGGUCUUGUAAACCAGGGGUCCGGGGUUCAACUCUCUGAUGAGGCU
rnacentral:tRNA from 1 species